UUCCUUUUGACGCUCGUCGGGAAGUAAUGCGCCAAGAGAAGUUCCUUGAAGCUCGUCCAAGUAAUAGCUGCCAAGUCAGUGUUGGGGUGCUCCUGGAGAUCCAACCACCAGCGGUAGGCCUCGCCGUCCAAGUGGUGAGUGGCGAGCCAAACUCGAUCCCUCUCCUCCACGAAGGUGUCGCGGAAGAGCUUCUCCAUAUGCAUCAACCACUUCUCCACGAUCCAGUAGUCGAC
rnacentral:lncRNA from 1 species